UCUUGGAUAGCUCAGUUGGUAGAGUAUUAGACUCUUAAUCUUGAAGAUACAGGGUUCAUGUCCCUGUUCAGGCG
rnacentral:tRNA from 1 species